UUCCUCAGCAGUCCCAGCAAAGGGAUGUUUUUACAGAUAUCUUGCUGAAAAUCUCAGAUCUGCUGUCUUUCCUCAUGAGAAUUGAGAAUUGCAGACCGGAAGGUGGAUCGUCGCAGCUCAUGUUUAAAGCAGCAAGUAGCAAGUCAAGAUCACUUAGAAGGUAGAUCACCACUUGGAAGGAGCCACGAUAUCGAGUCUGUGUUCUUAUUCUGCACUCUGGAAUGGGGCUCUCCUCUUUUGUUCUGGCUAUCUGUUACCCAAAUAUUGCUGCUGUAGCGUUUGGCCGUUUUAAGGUUUGCAGAACUAUAUAAAACAUUUGAUCAUCCCAGGAGUGGGGGAGGAGCUGAAGGACAUCUCUUACUUUUAAUGAAGCACUGAGGAGAAAGAACAGUGUAACAGAAAGACUAUUUAUAGAGGCUGCUUGCCAAAUCAAAGCCCAAGCUUUAAUUACAUCUGCGCACACUGUAGCCGUGUUU